UACGGGGGGGGCGAGCGUUGUUCGGAAUUACUGGGCGUAAAGGGUUCGUAGGUGGCCUGCUAAGUCAGACGUGAAAUCCCUCAGCUUAACUGGGGAACUGCGUCUGAAACUGGCGGGCUUGAGUGCAGGAGAGGAACGCGGAAUUCCAAGUGUAGCGGUGAAAUGCGUAGAUAUCUGGAGGAACACCGGUGGCGAAGGCGGCGUUCUGGACUGCUACUGACACUGAGGAACGAAAGCCAGGGGAGCAAACGGG
rnacentral:rRNA from 1 species